rnacentral:misc_RNA from 1 species
UCUCUGCUUGCGCAGGCAGUCUCUUUAGAGUCCCCACCAUUACAUGCUGGCAACUAAAGAUAAGGGUUGCGCUCGUUGCGGGACUUAACCCAACACCUCACGGCACGAGCUGACGACGGCCAUGCAGCACCUUGCUCCUUGUCCUUGCGGAACUAUCCAUCUCUGGAUCAGUCAAGGGCAUUCUAGUCCAGGUAAGGUUCCUCGCGUAUCAUCGAAUUAAACCACAAGCUCCACCGCUUGUGCGGGCCCCCGUCAAUUCCUUUGAGUUUUAAUCUUGCGACCGUACUCCCCAGGCGGAGUGCUUAAUGCGUUAGCUGCGUCACCGACAUGCAUGCAUGCCGACAACUAGCACUCAUCGUUUACAGCGUGGACUAC